CUUAAACCCUCACCAGAGUACCAAUUGGAGGGCAAGUCUGGUGCCAGCAGCCGCGGUAAUUCCAGCUCCAAUAGCGUAUAUUAAACUUGUUGCAGUUAAAAAGCUCGUAGUUGAAUUUCAGCGUUUCGCGUGUGCCUCUUUUGGCCCAUCUCGUCUCGCUUUUUUUAUUACUUUGAGAAAAUUAGAGUGUUUCAAGCAGGCUUUUGUCUUGAAUACUUGAGCAUGGAAUAAUAGAGUAGGACCUUGGUUCUAUUUUGUUGGUUUUGUUACCUUGGUAAUGGUUAAUAGGAACGGUUGGGGGCAUUCGUAUUUAACUGUCAGAGGUGAAAUUCUUAGAUUUGUUAAAGACGAACUACUGCGAAAGCAUUUGCCAAGGACGUUUCCAUUAAUCAAGAACGAAAGUUAGGGGAUCGAAGACGAUCAGAUACCGUCGUAGUCCUAACCAUAAACUAA
rnacentral:rRNA from 1 species